rnacentral:tRNA from 1 species
ACCUGGCUGGCUCAGAAGAGCGUGAUACUCUUGAUCUCAAGGUUGUGGGUUCGAGCCUCACACUGGGUG